GAGAUAUAUACUUAAUAACACUAGAGGGCGUACUCGCUCAAAUUGCUGUGUGGACCUGGAGCUGUGGCCGCCAUUACUAAGGAGGGCAGAAAAACGAACGACCCAACAAGAUACUGUGCACAACAUUCGUGGAAAAAAUUGGAGAAGCCAGGUUCGUGCGUUGCAUUUGGAUGUUCGAACCGAAGAAAGAAAGGGAACUGCAUAAUAUUUCACAAGAAUACACCCAAGAGAGGAAAGGAUGUUACACACCACAUCUCAUUCUUAGAGCUGUGCCUACUGUCUUUCCUGGACAUCCUCCCUAUAAACAGACCCAUGGCUCAAGACUCCCAGCAAAACCAUGUACAACAUCCAAAAGUGUUCCCGUGCCUCCAAAGAAACCCUAUGACAUUACAAAAGAACAUGACUAUUCUUUUUCUGUCUGAGUUGAUUAGAAACUGAAUAUAACCAGACAGCAAGUGCAAGAUGCCAAGAA